rnacentral:lncRNA from 1 species
AUGUUACCCCAGGAAAAUCCCAUAUUUUCCUGAAUGUUGGUUACCAAUGUGAAAGAUGUAUAUUGAAAACUUGGUUGUCCUUGUGAAAUGUAUUAGUUUUAACACAUAUAUAAAACUAACAUAUACAAAGUAAUUUGAUAACUUUAUUCAUUAUUACUAUUAAGUAAAUCUCUGUUAUCCUAAUUGGGAGUUCCAUAACCAUACAAUAGACUAGAUAUGGCAAUAAGUAGUCCACAUCACCUUAUGACUUUCGUUACCCUUGAACCAUUUCGGUUCGGAUGUAGCUAGCAGCUAGGUGUGGGGUAGUCAGCCUCGUAUAGAUCUAUACACUCAAGUCACGCUCCCUAUAUAAGAGAUUCUGGUUACGGGUGCGGUCCUCCACUCGCGUAUCUCUGUGGAGUGUUCACCGAGGACGUCUCUCCAAUUAUAUAGGAUUAACAAAUUUACUAGUAAUAAUAUGAUAAUCCUCCACUCGCGUAUCUCUGUGGAGUGUUACCGAGGACAAAACAGUGUACUAACUUUUAUGUUAAAGGUUCAAUUGUCAUGCUUUUAACUGAUAAAAUAUGGAAAAGCACUUGUGAAAUAUAUAAAAUAAAACAUUUUAUGACAUAUUCCACAAAUAAUAUGUUUACGUGUUCUGCAUGUUCAAACAGUUAUCUUUUAUGUCUAUUAGUGUUAAAACCAUAUGAAAUUAUGAAACACCCAUAUGUAAAACAAGUUUUCGAGUACAAGUAUUCCUUGUACUUUGCUUAUAUUCUCCCCCUGAAAACAGUGAAAAACAGUGAAAAAGGAUAGGGGUAUGAGCUCACCAGACGGGAAAAUGCGACGAUUUGAAUGCUAAGCGUUGGUUCGGGGCUUGAUAACACACGAGGUUCCGAAGUAAUAUGAAAUGGUAUAAAAAUGUAUCUAUUUGACUUUAAAACACUAAUUAGAUAUGAUAACACACUCCAAUGAGCGAAAACACUUCAAAUCAAGUGUUUGGAGUGACCCGGGUAACAUCUACGGACGUGUGGGACUUAGGAAAUGAGUUUACUCUUCAAGAGUAAACUCCUCAUGGAGUUUAUGACCCAUUAACCAUACUCCCAUGAGUUUACAGCCGUAAACUCAUGGAUGGUGGGUUCUUGGAUGCCAAAUGGUCAAACAAUGCACACGGGAAGUUAUAGGGUUGAUUCCAUGGCUUAGCAAGUGAUCGGGACUUCAAAUGGCCUUGGAAAAUGAAUUUAAGGUCUAAGGAGAUGUUCUUGGGGAGUUUACUACCUUAAAAUCAUGAGUUUACAACCGUAAACUCAUGUUUGUCCAUGAAUCAAGGGCUUUGGUGGUUGUAAUUCAAUCACAUGUGAUUGUAGUCUAACAUACAAGCCAUUCAAGGUGAUAAGGGCAUUUAAACACCCAUUUCAAGAGGUUAUGGUCUAGGAAGAUGAUUUUACGGUCUAAGAAUGUUCUUGGACCGUAAACUCUAGUUUGUCCCAUUUAUGAAUGUUUUGGUGCAUUUCUUGAAGGGUUAUACGGUUAUACGCACUCAUGGAAGUUCAUUGAAGGUGUUUAGGGGUAAACUAACACCCAAAAUGGUGUUUAAGGUCUAAGAUUGAGGUUUUACGGUCCAGGCAUGUUCUUGGACCGUAAACUCAUGUUUGGUCCCUUCUUGUGUGAUUUGGUGCUUCAAAUGAUGAAGUUGAAGGUCCUAGACACGUUUGGAAGCUUGUGGUGGUGUUUAAGGGCAUUUUUAACACCUUAAGAGGUGUUUAUGGUUCAUGCAUGGGGGUUUACGGUCCAAGAAGAUUCUUGGGCCGUAAACUCAUGUUUAUACAUCAAAUGUCAUGAUUUUUGGGUCUUUACUCCAUGCAUGCAAGUUUCUAAGUCGAAUCUAGUCCCUAGAAGUGUUUUGGAGGGGUUUUGAGGCUUCAAAACCCUCAUAUGAGGUGUUCACGGCCUAAGGAGGGUUCUUAUACCAUAAAAACAUGUUCAUAUGUGUUUUGGGUGAUUCCAACAUGAGUUUGCAAACCAGUUAAGUUAGAUAACAAGUUUAGGAUGGAUUUCUUACCAAAUGAUGCUUGAAAUGGGGUUUUUGAGGCAAUUCGAGUUCUAGAGAGAGUGUAGAAAGAGAAAGUUUUUAGAGAGAGGGAUAAAGCCUCAAAAUGAUGUCACUCAAUCCCUUAUAUAGGGGUUGAGUUUGUGGCCCGGUGGAACUCUACCCGAUACUGUCGUUAGACGAUGCUUUUGGUCGCACCCGAUAAAGUUACUGUAAUUAAGACUUAAAUGAAAAUAAUAAUUUUCCAAACAAUUAUGGAAAAUAUUUUAACAAUUAAAACACAUCUCGACAAUUACGAAACCAAAAUAAAAGUUGUGAUAAAAUUAAUUUAACGCAAAUGGUUAAUAGAACGAAUUGAAUACGACGGUUUUAUUUGACGGGAACGGUUUUAGCGACGGAAUAAAUUACAGGUUGUCACAUUAUCCCCCCGUUAGAGGAAAUUUUGUCUCGAAAUUUAGAAUGAAGAUACAAAUCAUGGAUUUGGAAAGAGAUGAGGAUACUUCUGUUUCAUCGAGUCUUCAUGCUCCCAAGUGAAUUCCGGUCCCCGCUUGGCAUUCCAGCGAACCUUCACUAUCGGGAUGCGACUUUGUUUUGUACGUUUGACCUCUCGAUCCAUGACUUCGAUCGGUUCCUCCAUGAAGUUCAUGUUUUCGUUGAUUUCGAUCUCGUCUAAGGGAAUCACAAGGGUUUCAUCGGAUAAGCACUUUUUGAGAUUUGAAACAUGGAAGACGGGAUGGAUGUUAUUGAGCUCAUGGGGUAAUCGAAGUUUAUAGGCUACCAGACCGAUCCUAGAAAGGAGCUCAAAAGGUCCAAUGUACCUCAAAUUAUGUUUUCCACGAUUUCCAAAGCAUACCAUGCCUUUCCUGGGCGAGACCUUCAACAGGACACGGUCUCCAACCUGGAAAUCCAGAGGUUUUCGUCGAUUAUCAGCAUAACUCUUUUGGCGAUCUCGCGAAGCUUUCAGUCACUCCCGGAUUUGGAUGAUCUUUUCGGUGGUUUCGCGGAUGAUUUCAGGACCAAUGAGAGCACUGUCAGGGACUUGACUCUUAGCUAGCUGCGUGUCCCCUACCUCGGCCCAGCACAGAGGGGAUCUGCACUUGCGACCGUAGAGGGCCUCAAAUGGAGCAGCCUUGAUGUUGGUGUGGUAACUGUUGUUGUACAAGAACUCGAUCAAGGGCAGAUGAGUGUCCUACGACUUUCCAAAAUCAAUGACACAUGCUCUAAGCAUGUCCUCCAGGGUUUGGAUUGUUCUCUCUCUCUGUCCAUCGGUCUGAGGAUGAUAGGCCGUGCUCAUGUCUAGUUUAGUUCCAAGAGUCUUUUGGAGAGACUGCCGAAAUCGGGAGGUGAAUCUGCUAUCUCGGUCAGAGAUAAUGGAUGCAGGUACACCGUGCAGUCGGACUACGUCUUGGAUGUAAAUUCGUGCGAGUCUUUCCAUCUUGAAUGAUUCUUUGAUCGGAAUGAAGUGAGUGGACUUUGUCAAACGAUCGACAAUUANUUGACAAUUACCAAAGGGUGUCGUACCCACUCGAACACUUGGGUAACUUGGUGAUGAAAUCCAUGGUAAUCAUCUCCCAUUUCCACUCGAGUAUCUCGGGCUGCUGGAGCAGACCAGAGGGUUUCUGGUACUCAACUUUAACCUUGGCGCAAGUCAGGCACUUGCCCACGAAUGUAGCGAUCUCGGCUUUCAUGUUGGGCCACCAGUAUUGUUUCUUGAGAUCCAGGUACAUCUUGUCCGAACCCGGAUGAACAGAGUAUCUGGUCUUGUGUGCUUCUUCCAUGACAAUCUCCCUGAAUCCUCCGGACUUUGGAAUCCAGAUUCGGUCCAUAAAACAGUAGACUCCGUCACCUAUGAUCUCAAGUUUCUUAUCCAUUCCCCUCAAGGCUUCGCUUGACACGUUCUCAGGUUUAAGGGCUUCUAAUUAGGCUUCUCGGAUUUGCAUGGAUAAAUGGGAAUGGAUAGUCAUCGUCAGGGUCUUCACUUUGCGGUUUGAACUUUCCUUUCGGCUAAGGGCAUCUGCUACCACAUUGGCCUUGCCGGGAUGGUAGCGGAUUUCACACUCAUAGUCACUGAGUAGUUCUACCCAUUGCCGUUGUCUCAUGUUUAAGUCUUUCUGAUCGAGGAUGUGCUGCAAGCUCUUAUGGUCAGUGAAGAUCGUACACUUGGUCCCAUAGAUAUAAUGUCUCCAGAUCUUCAGUGCAAAGACUACGGCUCCUAACUCCAAGUCAUGCGUGGUAUAGUUGACCUCGUGUGCUUUCAGCUGUCUAGAGGCAUAAGUAAUUACUUUUCCUCUUUGCAUAAGCACACAGCCUAAGCCUUGAUUAGAUGCAUCGUAGUAGACAACGAAGUCCUCUGUCCCUUCGGGUAGGGACAGUACAGGCGUGUUGCACAAGGCUUGCUUUAAUGUCUGGAAUGCUGCUUCUUGCUUUUCACUCCAGCAAAAGGGUACACCUUUCUGUGUUAAAGUGGUUAAGUGUUUGGCGAUCUUGGAAAAGUUCUGGAUGAAUCUCCGAUAGUAGCCGGCGAGACCCAAGAAUUGACGGAUUUCUAUGGGUGUCUUCGGUGCCGACCAAUUCUCUAUUGCUUUAAUCUUGGAAGGAUCUACAUGAAUACCCUCCUCGCUUACGACGUGACCGAGGAAAGUUACCUUCCGAAUCCAGAACUCGCAUUUGGAAAAUUUCGCGUACAACUUCUCGGAUCGNCUAAGGGUUUCCAACACUAACCUCAAGUGCUGUUUGUGGUCUUCUUCGCUUCUGGAGUAGACAAGUAUGUCAUCAAUGAACACAAUGACGAACUUGUCCAGAUAGGGACGACACACCCGGUUCAUUAGGUCCAUGAACACUGCCGGUGCGUUAGUUAGACCGAAGGGCAUCACUACGAAUUCGUAGUGUCCAUACUGAGUUCUGAAAGCUAUUUUAGAAACAUCACUCUCAUGAACUCGUAGCUGAUGGUACCCUGACCGAAGGUCUAUCUUGGAGAAGUAAUUGGCUCCCUAGAGUUGAUCGAAGACGUCAUCUAUUCGCGGAAGAGGAUAUCGGUUUUUGACGGUCAACUUGUUCAGCUCACGGUAGUUGAUACACAUCCGAAAGGAUCCAUCUUUCUUCUUGAUGAACAAUAUCGGAGCUCCCCAGGGUGAGGAACUCAGUCUAAUGAAUCCUUUACUAAGCAACUCAUUGAGUUGGCUGGAUAACUCUUGCAUUUUUGCUGGAGCUAAGCGAUACAGAGAUUUUGCUACAGGGGUAGCUCCAGGAAUUAGGUCAAUACAGAACUCGACCUGACGCUCGGGAGGGAUUCCUAGAAGCUCUUCGGGAAAUAUAUCAGGAAAGUUACAGACUUCGGGGAUGCUCGCGAGGUCCUUAACUACCUAUUUCUCAUUGAUUACAUGGGCUAAGAAUACAAUGCACUCCUUUCGCAGGAGCUUUUGAGCUUUGAUGCAGGAAAUGAUACGAAGAUUGGAACUGAGUUUAUCGCCAUAGAUUACGAGAGUUUGAUCCGAAGGAAGGUUGAGACGGAUGGAUUUUUCGAAAUAGAGGAUAUCAACAUGAUUGGGACUCAACCAAUCCAUGCUAAUGAUGACAUCAAAGCUCUUUAUGGAAACUGGCAUCAGAUCAAUGGAAAAUGAAUGAUCAUUCAGGGUAAGGGUACAACCUACGAACACAUCGAUGGCGCUUUCUUUCUCACCGUUAGCCAUCUCGACAGUAAAAGUUUCAGUUAAAGGUUGGGGAUUAUGUUUUAGGUUAUGUUUGAACGCAUGACUAACAAAGCUUCUUUCAGCACCCGAAUUGAAAAAAAUACUAGCAUAUGAGUUGUCGAGAAGGAACGUACCCGAGACUACAGUGGGAUCGGCGACUGCUUCCUCCCGUCCUAUAGCUAGGACUCUCUCAGUAUUAUCAGCUGUUGAUUUCUUGGGGCAAUUCCUUUUAAAACGUACAACCUCUCCACAGCUAUAGCAGGCUUGACCAACGCCUGCUCCAGAUGAUUGAUUUGCCGAUUGGACCGGAGCUUUGCAGAAUCGGACCGUGUGCCCCUUCUUACCACAAUUGGUGUAAGAUAAUUCUCGGCAGGGGCCUGGGCUGUGGUGAUAUUUGCACUUGUCACACAGAGGAAGAUUACCAGCAUAUCUGCUAGUAGGAGUUGGAGCUGUGGAUCCUACAAUAGAAGCAGCAGCAACGGGAAUAGUAGCAGCAUGGAUUGCUGCAGUCUGCUAUCUCUUGGAGGAUCCUUGGGAAGAUUGAUCCUUCUUCUUCUUCCAGAACUUUCUUUUCUCACCACUCCUCUUGGUCGGCUCAUGAGCGGUGGUGGUUUCCUCGACGUCUUUGUUGGGUUUUGAGCAAUCUAACAGUUCCUAAGUGUGCAUGCAACCCUAAUAAACCUUGGAUCUAUGUUUGUCUAAAUACAUGCAAAAUAAUAAUUUUCCAAGGUUCAUAACCUAUCUAACAUGGCAUGGGGUACUUUUAAACAUAAAAAAAUUAGAUAAGAUUACAUACCUUUUGAUGAUGAGUUUGAUUCCUAAGGAGUUUGAGGGCCAAGCACCAAUAGUGUGAAUGCCUCAAAUGGAAUCACAAAUCACCACAAACUCUUGGAAAACUUUGAGAGAGUGUAUACACACAUAAAAAUCGGCCACACACACAAAACCACACUAGUGGCUAUUUCAUGCAACAUAAGCAUGCUUAUAUAGUGUGCAUGGUUAGGGUGAAACCCUAAUAACCCAUGACCUUUCCUUUUCCAAGGAUCCAUGGGUUAAAAGCUCCAUGGAUCAUCCAUGGACUUCCAUAUAAGCCUAGCCCAUUAACAAAUGAGUGUUAGCCCACACCAUAUAAAACAAUAGCCCACAAUUUAAUUAGUCUUCCUUUUAAUCUCUAAAUUAAUUCAUAAUUAAUUUAAGACUAAGACUAAUUAAAUAACAUGACUUCAUAUUAAUAUAUUAUAACUUAUAAUAUAUUAAUAAACAUAUGUGUAUAACUCUCAUAAAAUUAUCCAUAAAUAGUUCGGAUGAAAUGCAACCCAAAUGGACCAUGCCGGGUCGGGUCAAGUAUAUACCAAAUAAGUUAUGGACUUAGACACCUUAUCCAACAGACUCCCACUUGGAUAAGUCUAAUAACUAUAUUUGCGUAUGUUACUUCAGGAACCAACCAGCAAUCGUAGCUCUCGAAAACUCUGUUGAACUAUGAAGCGCCAUUUUAGAUAAGUGAUCAUAUAAUCCUCUGUUCUCAUGAUAUCAGCCGGACAAAUACAUGGAACAACGUCGUACUUAUUGUCCAGCAGUUUGUUUCCCGAUUUUCGAUUUGUUUGACAAAGAACUUAAUCGAACACAUCAAUUUAGUUCUGACCGGCCGGUACAUAGGUCACAACAAAAUCAUCGAGGGGCCCAGAUAUCGCUUCUAUUUCUAGAAGGAACAGAUAAACUUCGACUCAUAUGCUUGUUCUACUACUUGUUGAAUUGUACACAAAGGCACGUUUUAUAACAUCAAGUUACUGAUGCGUUUACGUGCAAUCAAUGCACAACCAACUCAUAGGUAACAACUCAUAUCUCUAGGUUUGAAGAUUUAUAUGAUAUUACCGUCUCACGAUCACUCGAGAUAAAUUCCAUGAAGUGAUACAAGUGAGCGUGGGUUUAUUCCAAUACUCAUAACUUAUGAGCACUCAUGAAUGUUGUAGCAACCAUUGCUAUGACUAAACCCAUUUAGCCAUCUACAAACUCGAUUCAUGACAGUCUUGAUUCAUACCUACUUCCAACAUAUGAACGACUGUGGAGUGUUUAAAUAACUUAGUCAUUCGGAAAGAAUAACCUAGCUAUUUUGGAAGUCAAAACAUGCAAAGUGAAACACAAUAAUAAUCGAAUCCAAUAUGGUCUCAGAACCCUUUUGAAUAUAAAUAGAACCACCUUUUAUUUAUCACCAUAUUGAUUACACAUUAUUCAUUGUAUAAUGUUUCAAACAAUCAACUUAAGACUUGAAUAAAAACAACAGUCGUCCCAUGCUCCUAGCAUGUACACUUUGUUUUUCUAAACAAUAGUUAUGCCAUACUCCAAGUAUGCACACUAUGUUUGUCUAUGAUCCUUACAUUGUGAUGUAGAUCAAUUGAACAUGAUUCCAAUGAUACUCAUUUCACAAUCCCAAAUCCUUAUUGUAAAUGUGAGAAUCCCCGAUUCCUAUCAUUUACCAAAAAAUCUGUUAGAUUUUAAACUUUUAUGCAAUGUUCCUCUUGUAAUGAUUAUGCACAAAGUCACCAAAACCUUGUCACCAGUCAUUACAGAGUAUUCCAAAGAAGGUCAACUUCUAUGGAACGGAAGUCUCAUAUUCAAAGUACAUUGCUUUGAACAUCCUUCUUGCAUUAAGGUUUUCUAAUCUUACAUAGAUUGAAUAACUUCCACCUAUGGAGACAUUUCCAUAGUCCCAUUUUGACUAUCACUUCCGAACAAGAGUUACUUCUUUUCAGAAUAUGUCAAUAUGGUCCUUUCCGACAACUUACAUCAUACUUCCAACUUUCCCUGAGCAACCAAUCUUUGGCGAACCUCAGAUUGUCCUCGACAAUUGCUUAAUCACUUUAGUCAUAUCCAGUUCUAGACUUUUCCCUUCUCAAUGCCUUAAGCAUUUGGAAAAUUUAGAAAAGAUGAAUAUUAUAGCACAUGCAAUCGAUCCUAUAUCCGAAGCAUAUGGGACACGAUUCAUGAUGUUUGACAUAAAGACAUGAUACUAGACCAGUCUUUUGCUACAAUAUUUUUUAUUUGCCAUGUUUUCAAAAUUUAACUAUGAAGAGGGAUGCCGUAAUCAUAAUCGAAUUUUGAAAACGCAAUAUAUAUAGAAUUUCUUCAAGUUGAACCAUUCCAACAUAAAAUUCAUAUAUAUAUUCUUGACUAAAGAUGAUUAAAAUCUCAAUCUAAGCUUUAGAAUUGAAAUGAAGUAUAAUUUCCUCUCCCUUAAUUAUAGCAAAACAACUUUUCAACCCCUGCAACUUCACGAAUUGAAACUUUGUUUUCUAUAAUUAACAUUGCUAACUUGCAACACUAAACGUAAUAAUCAUGCUCCCACUAACAUGAUGAUUAUCAGCAUAACACUUAUGCUCCCACUAGCUCUGACAUAUUUCCAGAAAUCUGCUGGACUUCUGAAAUUUAGAUUCAUACACCCUUUCUUAGAUAGCUCACAUGUGUGUCUAAACAAUUUUCAGAACUAUGAAAAGGGAUGCCGUAAUCAUAGUCUCAAUUGCUUAGGCAUUUGCCAUUUCUCACAAGUCCAUGUUAGUGUGCCGGUUAACCACACGCGCUCCACUAACGACUUUUGAAAAUGCAAAUAACACAAUUGAUAUCUACGUAAAAUCUACUUAGUGAAAGCGUUUCCUCACCAUCAUUUUCAUGAAUCGGAGAGAAACCUUAUGACACUUAGAUUUUAUAGUGUAUGAGUUCCUAUCCAUGUGAAUUUGUCAAAACCAUAAUCACAAGAUAAGGUUAGUGACAAAUUCAGCCUUACAUGGAUUAAACUUGUUCAAUCUUAGUUUCUUGUCACCUUGGUAGCACAAGGCCCACCAAUGCUUCCAAGUUGAACUCUGAUAACUCACAUGCAAAUUCAACUUAUUUGAAGUAGGUACAGAAAUAAGAAUUAUGUCAACACGAUAGGUUGCAAACCUUAAGUCGUGUGCUAGUGAUAAAUUACAGGUUUUACUCUUGAUUAAAUCUUGAAACUCUUUCAGGAUCUUUAAGGCUCCCACUGUCCCCUUGACAUAUAAGUUUCCCCAGUCAAGAACCAUUCCUUGACAAAACAAAUAUUCAAGGGAUAGUGCGGAUUCUUAUCAAGACUAACACUUCACACAAUUGGUCUUAGUUGGUCUUUGUCUCAUCCAAGACAUCACAACUUACCAAUCUCAAAUGUACAAGAGUAGAAAACAUUUUACUCUUACAUUUGACUAGUGUUAAUAAAUCUUCCUUUAUGUCACUCAAAGUUACAAUCUUGGAGUAUGACUCUAAGAAUUGUUUUGGAACGAAGUAUGACUCAUCUUCUUGAUUUUAACCAAUCCAACAAUUCAUGACCUCUCUUCUUAGCCAUAACAAUGCACUAAGACGUCCUUAGAGUAUGAAUUUGUGAUAUGGUUUCAUAAUCAUUAAGAUGAUCAUGAAAUACGAUACUAAAGUACUCUCCCAUCCUUUCAGAUUUGAGAAACUUUUAUCUUUCUGCCUAAUUUGAUUCUUCUCAUUUGUUUUGUCAUACAUUGUAACCUUUCCAAUGUUACAGAAUUAUACUUAACCUCAUAAGUAUAAUCAUAUUUACUAAUCUUUAGUAAAUCAUGACAAAUCAAUCUUUGUGGUGGACCUUGACCAGCGCACACCCAGUGUACCUAAUUCCUUAGUCCUUCAAUUGACUCACAUAUACAUGUGAUCAAAGAAUUAGUCUUAAUUUUCAAAGAUGAAAAUUCUCAUUCAUCAUACAAUACAACUUGUAUGAUUCCAAGUUUCUGUCCAAUUGAAACUUGGGUGAUGAAAAACUUUCUUCAUUUGGUAAAUUCAGACACUACCACAAAUGAAAGAAUCAAAUCCACUUUCCAAUAUUGCUAUUACUGGAAACAUAUAAGCAACAAUUUUCCACAGAUGCCAUUGUAAGGAUAUUUUUAAAAUAAAUAAAAUUAAAACCCUUUUUUUUUUUUUUUUUAAAACUUUGCGGAAAAACUUAUCCUUACAAUCCACAUGAAAACCUUGUUGUUAUCUAUUCAUAAGCAAUAUAUUAUAACUCUUAAGCAACAGCUCAAAAUUCUGAUUACCGAACCAUGCGAUCGAAACCCACCUUCGCAAUCAGAAUCAACAUAUACUUACUUUAAGCUUCCUAUCUUUUCUUUGAUUCUUAAAAACAUCAGCAUGUGACCCAUUCACAUUAUGUAAUAAGAAUCUCCAAAUAGGAACUUAAUAGAGUUAGACAGUGGACUUUACCCGAAGUAGAGUCAAACCUCUUGACUUGAUCAACCUUAUGACCUUUCAGGUGAAUAGGGCAGCUUCGCAACCAAUGCCCCUUCCUUUGGCAACAAAACACAUGGACCCUUUGGUAAUGGCACAUGAGACUAUCUCAGACUUAGCCUUUCUCUUUACCAUUUGGUCAACCGAGUUGACUAUGGCCGAUCCCUUUCCAUUGGGAAGAGAAAUCCUUUUCUAGAUAUCCAAUGCUACCAUUGUCAAUGUCCAUUUAAGACUUGGGAAGUUGUUCUUUUAAUCAAAUUUGCUUUACUGGUGUUCCAAAUCAUUGCUGAUUCCACAACACCAAGCAAAUAGAUAACAUCAUUAAGGGUCAUGUCAUAGUCUGUCUCAUAGUAGUCCCAAAGAGACUCACUAUGUUACUAAGAAAGUGAUUGAACAUCCAACUUUCACGAGACUUUGACACCCAACUCUCCCGGCUUGUCAAUAUGUGACUUUAUCUCCAAGAUGUGAGCACACAUAGACUAUGCUUGCCAAUAGGGAUUGAGUGACUUUAAACUUUUCAAGAACUUGUGGGUGAGGGAGAAUAAUUGGAGGAGGUGGAGGAAGUGAAGCAUGAUGUUGAGGGACACCAUCUUCAAGAGAUUUGGGAAGAUCAUAGUUGUCUGAACCAGACAUCUAUAAUGGGAGAAAAUCAAGUUAGUUGAUUCAAAGUCCUUAAUAUAACACCCAAUAUGAAAUAUUAAGGCUAGGACCCAACACAAUAUUUUAUAAUUUGGAAGAGGGAUGCCGUAAUCCAAGCUAUAAAAUAUUUGAAGGUAGGCGAAUGACGAUUCACCAAUUUCCACCAUGAAAAACGAAAUAAUUUAUUAGGUUUUAAUUGGAUUUGAAAUUCCUAGAUCUUUUGAGAUUCAUUGAACUUUUCAAUGGCAUGUUUCAAUCUCGAGUGUGCCCUCUCAAAUUUUGUGACUGGGAUGCCGAGGAUCACAAAACAAGGUGUGAAUAACCAUACCAAUUCACUUGGUACCCUUAAUAUUAUCACCUAAUCAAUGUGCCGGUUAACCACACACGCUCCAUUGAUCUAUGACAAACAUUAAGUCACCCUUCGUGAUCCUUACUAGUCCAAGUUAGUGUGCCGGUUAACCACACACGCUCCACCAACGACUUGGUAAGGUACAAAGUGUGAAUUCCAUGGGCUAGCACCAAAUUCACAUUUUUCCUAAAGUAACUAAGAUUGGGAAUUAAAUAAAAAAUUUUUAGUUACUUUAUAAUAAUCAUUAUACUUUUAAUGAGAAUUUAAAGUCAUUGUCCUACCCGUUCGGCUAACGACCCUCCACCGAUCAAGCAAGCGGUGGGUGAGAGUGGACACCCAUUAAGUCGCCAUUUUAUAGGCAACAACCUUAUACCCACCUUAUAGACCGGCUUCGUGAAUGAGGCCUACUAACGGUAAAACGACUUGUUCUUAUACAUAUAUAUAAUAAUUAACCAUUAAUGUUAUAAAUAGUAUAAGUGUUGAAUUUUAACUUUUAAAACUCUAAGUGUUGGAAUUAAAGUUUAUUAAAGUGUGUGAAACUUUUCAAAUUCCAAAACUUGAGGGCAAGUUUUGUAACUAUCCAAAACUUUUCAUUUCAUAACUUAUGAAUUAAAGGUUCAUAAAAAUGAAGACUCUUCAUUUUCAUGUAACUUAUGUGUUUAAAUGUGUGUGUUAAAGAAAAGUGACCUUUGGAUAUCCAUAACUUGAGGACAAAUUAUGGACUCCAUUAAAACACAUAAAUGAUCAAGAAUUAAUUCUAAACAAUUCAGCAAAUAAUUCCUAUCAUCUUCUAAAUUCAUAAGAACAUGAACAUGAUCAUCAAAAUUUCAAGAAUUAUAUGAACACAUAAAAAUCAUGGAAUUUUGAUAUAUGCUAUUGUAAAUGGAUUAGAACAACCAUUACACCAACUAAAACAAGUUUUAAAACACCAAAACAGUUUAGGGUAAUGUUUCUAGUCCAUUUCCAGCAGCAAAAGUCGAAAUUCUGCAUUCUGAUCAUUCUACUCGCCGAGUGCACGAACCUACUCGCCGAGUAGGAUGAAUUUUGCCUUGAACUCGGCGAGUCCCCCCAUGGACUCGGCGAGUCCAUCAGCCAGACAGCAACAAUUUCAACUUUUUUCACUAUUUUGCAUCAAGUAUCAAACAAGCAAGCCUAGGCUCUGAUACCACUGUUGGGUUUUGAGCAAUCUAACACUUCCUAAGUGUGCAUGCAACCCUAAUAAACCUUGGAUCUAUGUUUGUCUAAAUACAUGCAAAAUAAUAAUUUUCCAAGGUUCAUAACCUAUCUAACAUGGCAUGGGGUACUUUUAAAUAUAAAAGAAUUAGAUAAGAUUACAUACCUUUUGAUGAUGAGUUUGAUUCCUAAGGAGUUUGAGGGCCAAGCACCAAUAGUGUGAAUGCCUCAAAUGGAAUCACAAAUCACCACAAACUCUUGGAAAACUUUAGAGAGAGUGUAUACACACAUAGAAAAUCAGCCACACACACAAACCCACACUAGUGGCUAUUUCAUGCAACAUAAGCAUGCUUAUAUAGUGUACAUGGUUAGGGUGAAACCCUAAUAACCCAUGACCUUUCCUUUUCCAAGGAUCCAUGGGUUAAAAGCUCCAUGGAUCAUCCAUGGACUUCCAUAUAAGCCUAGCCCAUUAACAAAUGAGUGUUAGCCCACACCAUAUAAAACAAUAGCCCACAAUUUAAUUAGUCUUCCUUUUAAUCUCUAAAUUAAUUCAUAAUUAAUUUAAGACUAAGACUAAUUAAAUAACAUGACUUCAUAUUAAUAUAUUAUAACUUAUAAUAUAUUAAUAAACAUAUGUGUAUAACUCUCAUAAAAUUAUCCAUAAAUAGUUCGGAUGAAAUGCAACCCAAAUGGACCAUGCCAGGUCGGGUCAAGUAUAUACCAAAUAAGUUAUGGACUUAGACACCUUAUCCAACAGUCUUCACCGUGAUCAAUUAGGGUUUGGGCAAAACUCUUGGCACUAUCAAAGGUAUCCGGACGUGCAGCUAAGACGUUUCCCUUUGUUGGAUGGGUCAGCCCCCAGAUGAACUUUUCUAUCUUUUUACUUUCAGGAGUGACCAAUCCCGGGCAGAGAAGUGCGAGAUCAUCGAAUCGAGAAGUGUAUGCAGCAAUAUCGGAACCCUUCGUCUUCAGGUUCCAGAGCUCAUGCUCUAGUUUCUGCAUUUCACCACGGGGACAGUAUUCAGCUAUGAGGUGUUCUUUCAUGGCUUCCCAACCCAUGGCAUUGGCUACAGGUAGGGUCAAGGAUUUGACUUGGCCGUCCCACCAAGUCAGGGCUUUGUCAAGAAAGGUACAAGCUGCGAACUUUACUUUAUCAGAUUCCGAACAGGCACAGAUUUCGAAGAUGGAUUCGAUUUUCUCGAACCAUCGGGAAAGAGAAAUGACACCUCCAGUUCCAUUGAAGGAUGUGGGUUUUGCAUUCAUGAAAUCUUUAUAGGAACCCUCUUUUCGGUGUCCCUGAUUGCUUUAUUGAUCCUGAGUUUGAGUACCACCUCCCGAACCACCGGAACCACCAGUGUUGAAUUGAGACAUAGCAGCUGCCACCGCGGCGGUAACAGCUGCCUGAAAUACUACGUGGUCAAUUUCAGGAGGAGGUGGUGGCGGAGGUUUGUUGGUCCUUGAGCUGGGUCUUUUUCUUGGAGGCAUCUUGAUCUAAUAAGAUCAAGAAAGAGAGAGGAUGGCAAGUCCUCUAAAUUGAAUCAAGAGAUAUGACAGUUAUAUAUAUUCUGAAUAAGCGAUAAAGCAGGAAAGAGUUAUCAAUGCAGAUAUAUUAUUGCUAAAGGAAUGAUCAAGGAACAAUGGGUGAACGUGGAUUUCUACAAAGGAUUGGCUCGAGAAAUACUCCCAUAGUAUUUCAUGAUUCGCUACGAUACUGGCACGAUGUUUGUGGUAUUAAGGUAAGUUUUAGGCAUGCCGCAUACUACAGUUACUCCCAAGCACAUGUUAGCCGUGUCUUGAAUGAAUAUAGUUGGCCAGGAUAUAUUGAUCCUAGACACGACUACAUAACUGCCCAGGUUUAACCGCAGUACACAACACCCAUUUACUUAUGUUUUGUUCUACUUGUAGUUACGGAUCUCGACGGUUCGGUAUACUUGUAUACUUUUGAAAAUACUUGUAUUUUGAAGGAUACUUUUAAUUCAAAGCACUUAGGCCCUUUGGUGUUUAUAGUUUUAUACCAUGUAAGGUUUGCUAUACUUUAUUCACUAUAAACAAGGGCUCUGAUACCAAACUGUCACACCCCGAAAACCGAAGGCGGAAACAUUUCCGGGGUUGACUCCACGUUGAGUAUCAAAUCCAAUGCACAUAGUACGUAAAGUAAACAACCAUUACAUUACAUAUAGAAAGGUUUACAUUUGUCUCAAAAGUAAAGUUAUACAGUAGUGGUACAUAGUAUAUAUGAACAAAAUGAGAUGAGUCUUCUGCGCAUUCUGUCUUCGCUAAAAAGGAAUCAUCGGGUACCUGUCUAAAGCGGACCUGAGAGUACAAGCAGUUUGAAAAUCAGCAUAACAUUGGUGAGUUCAUAAGUGGUUUUGUUUUAUGAAAAUGUACGAGUUCCUUUUCUAUUUCUGAAAAUGACACACACCAAGAAAAUCCCAUAUUUUCUUAAAAAUUGGUUAUUGAAUCCCAAAAUGUAAUGUAAAAGAUGUACACUGAAAACAUGUUUACCCUUGAGAAUUGUAAAGUUUAGUUAUCUGGUUUGUUACACGAUUAUGGUUAUGUACAAAUGUUACCCCAGGAAAAUCCCAUAUUUUCCUGAAUGUUGGUUACCAAUGUGAAAGAUGUAUACUAGAAACUUGGUUGUCCUUGUGAAAUGUAUUAGUUUUAACACAUAACAUAUACAAAGUAAUUUAAUUACUUUAUUCAUUAUUACUAUUAAGUAAAUCUCUGUUAUCCUAAUUGUGAGUUCCAUAACCAUACAAUAGACUAGAUAUGGCAAUAAGUAGUCCACAUCACCUUAUGACUUUCGUCACCCUUGAACC